CUUCAGCAUAAUCGUUUUCAACAACAUUUCAAUGGAUAUUUAAGAUAUUGUUUAAAAAAAGAAUUACACUUUGUGAUAUGUUUUUGUUUUCAUCUGUCAUGAAAAAGUUCAUUAAAAAAAGAAACGUGAGGACAGUGAAAUUUUCCAUCAUUACAAAGUUAGAUUACAUCAACAGCUUGUCAUCCAUGUUCAGAACUCGACAUUGCAAAACACAUUGAGAAAUACAGAAUGACAGGAUAAGAUUAUUCCAUCUCCAUCCUUAUAAAGAGACGGGUAACUCACGACUGCUCAGCAGAGACGUCCACAUCACCUCUAGAUCUCACAGUGCUCACUUUGCUGUCUGUGACACCAGUUUAUUUUUUGGUUCUGACCAACAAGCUGUGGAAAGGAUGAAGGGUGUUAUGAUCUUUCUGGUGUUGACACUGGUUGUCAUCAUGGCUGAAGCCCAGACAUAUGGUGAUGUUGUCAAUAGUGGGAACACAGGAACAACUGGAGGUAAGUCACAAGUGUUCAUGCAUACUGAGUUGAUGUCAACAGAUUGACCUCUGAUUUAUACAAACAGCAGGAUACUUUAGUCUGAGAUCAACAAAUCACACUUGACUGUACUCACUUACUACAUACAACUUCAUUUAGUUCUGUAUUUAGCUAAAAUCUUUAUUUUAGUCCUGAUAUCUCAGAUAAUAAACCUAAAACUAAGAAAGUAGAGCAUCAUUAAUGUGCUAGAUGCAAAGAGUUUCAAAUGUGUUAAUAAUAUACUGAUGUUUAUUUAACUAAUUUUCAUCUUUUUGUCCCUUAAGGUGUCCACGUAGGAGGGUAAGUAUACUGAUUAUUUUCUGUUGAUUUCAAACAGAGAAGUGAAAAAAUAAAAAGACUUUGUGAAAUACCUCAAACCUAUCAAACAUUGCAGUCAUCAGUAUUAACCAGAUCCUAAGUUGAUGUCUUCAACUACCUUAUUUUGUCCAACCCAUUUAAAUGAACGAUUAUAUAAUAGAGGGCAAAGAAGCAAGUGGACACAUUUCAGAAGCUCGAAUCAGUGAAUUUCUGUAAUUUUUAAUUAAAGAAUUAUUGCAAAUUAUUCAGUUAUUCAAAUAUGUGUCUUUAACAUUCUGUUGACCGACCUAUGCUGAUAAUUUGACUAACUGAUUUCUCUCUUAUGUUGCCCCCUUUCCUAAAUUGAUAAAGAAGCAAAGAGACACAGCCCCCAUUCAGUAAGUCACAAGCUCUCAUGCAUACUGAGUUGAUAUUAACAGAGUGACCUCUGAUUUACACAAACAGCAGGCUACUUUAGUCUGAGAUCAACAAAUCAUACUUCACUGUACUAACUUACUACAUACAUCUUAAUUUAGUUCUGUAUUUAGCUUAAAUCUUUAUUAAGUCCUGGUAUCUCAGAUAAUAAAUCUAAAUCUAAGUAAACAGAGCAUCAUUAAUGUUCUACAUGCAAAGUUUUUCAAAUAUGAUAAUAUACUGAUGUCUUCACUCAUUUUCAUGUUUUUUUCCCUUUAGGCAUCACAACUGAACCGUAAGUUUUACUGAAAAUCUUCAUCUGAAGUCAAACAGGCGAAUAAAAGAAAUCAAAUAACUUUGUGAAAUACCUCAAACCUAUCAAACAUAGCAAGCAUCAGUAUUAAACAGAUCCCAAGUUGAUGCCUUCAAGUACCUUAUUUUGUCCAACCCAAUUAAAUUCACAGUGAUGUAAUAGAGGGUAAAGAAGCAAGUCGACACAUUUCUGAAGCUGGAAUCAGUCAAUUUCUGUCAUUUUUGUUGGGAAAUUAUUGCAAAUUAUUCAAUUAUUAAAAUAUUUGUCAAUUAAGAUUCUGUUGAUCGACCUAUGUUGAUGAUUCAACUGCCUGAUUUCACUCUUUUUUUCUGCCCUGCUCCAACUUAUAUAGAUUCGAAUGCAGAUGCACAUGUGGAACAACCCAAGGUGAAGUGGCCAGCUAUAAAUUGAUGCGAUAAUAUGAAGACUGAGUCUGUUCUUGAUUUUGAAGAUAUAGUUUGAGCUAUAUCUUUGUGCUCUGCAAAGCAAGAAAUAAUUGGAUGAGAAAACAUGAAGCUCUUGAGAUGUAGUGAUUUUAGUCACAGCUCCAAUUGAUGUUGAAAAAAGUAAAAUUGCUUGAUAGUGAAAACUAUUCUGCUGAAUAAAGCUGCAUUCCAAAACACCGUCUCUGUGUUGUGGUGUUAUUUAAGUGAACAUGUGCUUGUAAUUUUACUGGUUAUGAUGAUCAAAAACAUUGUUUUUAUUAAGUCAGAGGUAAUGAUUUAUAUUAAAUAGAUCUAAAUAAUGAGGGUGUUGG
rnacentral:lncRNA from 1 species